rnacentral:lncRNA from 1 species
CCAGGAGCUGCUUCCCGAGGGAAAUGUUGUGUGCCCAGCUCCUUGUCCUGGCGGUGGCCACGGGGCCGUUCCGAGCUGGGGCUGCUCAGGAAGCCUGCAGGACAGCAGAGGUGGCCAAGGUUCUGUUCCUCGUGGGGCAGUCGGAGGCUGCAGGGAAGGAGAGCUCGCGGCUGCUCCAGGAUUUCAUCGGGAGCGUGGCCAGAUCCUUCGAGAACGCGGAGAUGGGAAGAGGAGGAGUCCAGCUGGGCCUGGCUGUGUAUGGGGAGACACCAAGGAUGAGUGUCGAGCUCACGGAUUACGUGGCCAUGAAAGAAAGGCUGGAUGCAGUUCAG